rnacentral:lncRNA from 1 species
GGCAACCUCUCUUUGAUUCCCCUGGAAUAAGGAUCAGUAUAAGCAGAACAUACACUUAUGGCUCUGUCUUACCUUCUCUAUUCUGCUUCCCCCCUGACAAAGAUGGCUAGAGAAUGAGGCCCUUGAGAGCCAGUUGGUCUCUUCUGAUGAAUGCUGAGUGGUUCUUCAGCUCCUGUCCUCCAGGAAUGCAGGAACUUGAAGACAGGCUGCAUUUUUUCUAGACAACUUGGUCUCAAGGCAAACCAAACCAUAGCCCAGAAUGUGAGACUGAUCUCAACAACAGAAAAUCAAUACUGCAAGAAGAAUAAACUACAGGAUGGUGAUCCAAAGGUGGGUUGGCCCAGCAUCUAGACCGUCAAGCUUAGUACUUCAUCAUUCUUUCACUUGUGACCUCUUUCGUCCAAACGGCUAUUCUCUAAUUUGUCUUUUGAGCUCUUUUUUCCUUUUAUUCUUCCCUUCCACUCUCCUCAUUUCCUUUUUCACUUCACUACAUUAUAAUUCCUUCC